rnacentral:rRNA from 1 species
AGGACGAACGCUGGCGGCGUGCUUAACACAUGCAAGUCGAACGGUGAAGCCUUUCGGGGUGGAUCAGUGGCGAACGGGUGAGUAACACGUGGGCAAUCUGCCCUGCAUUCUGGGACAAGCCUUGGAAACGAGGUCUAAUACCGGAUACGACGCAUCCCCGCAUGGGGUGUGCGUGGAAAGCUCCGGCGAUGCAGGAUGAGCCCGCGGCCUAUCAGCUUGUUGGUGGGUGAUGGCCUACCAAGGCGACGACGGGUA